rnacentral:rRNA from 1 species
UACGUAGGAGGCGAGCGUUGUCCGGAAUUACUGGGUGUAAAGCGCGUGUAGGCGGCCUGCCAAGUCUGCUGUGAAAGCGCCUGGCUUAACCGGGCGAGGUCGGUGGAAACUGGCGGGCUGGAGGCCGGUAGAGGGGGGUGGAAUUCCCGGUGUAGUGGUGAAAUGCGUAGAGAUCGGGAGGAACACCAGUGGCGAAGGCGGCCCCCUGGGCCGGGCCUGACGCUGAGACGCGAAAGCGCGGGGAGCAAACAGG